UUAAUUGAAGAGUUUGAUCAUGGCUCAGAUUGAACGCUGGCGGCAGGCUUAACACAUGCAAGUCGAGCGGUAGCACGGGGGAGCUUGCUCCCUGGGUGACGAGCGGCGGACGGGUGAGUAAUGUCUGGGAAACUGCCUGAUGGAGGGGGAUAACUACUGGAAACGGUAGCUAAUACCGCAUAACGUCGCAAGACCAAAGAGGGGGACCUUCGGGCCUCUUGCCAUCAGAUGUGCCCAGA
rnacentral:rRNA from 1 species